CACAUCCAAUAUGUAAUAGGGAUGUAUCCUCCUUACAUUUAAAGCAUGGAUGGAAAAUAUAUUUCAUGGGUCAUUGACAAUUUUUUCCUGCUAAUCAUUCUUGGAGGAUCCGUUAUAAUUAAUAUUUUGAUGGUAAGUUUGAUCGACGUCUGCCACCUAAGAGGUUAAGUAGAGCAAAAAUUUUAGAAUAACUUGAAGUCAUUAGAAACGUCCAAUUUAGAAAAACAUCGGGUACUCACA
rnacentral:lncRNA from 1 species